CACCGUAGUGCCCUCAAAGCUCAUCACUAAGCUAAGGAACCUGGGUCUAAACACCUCCCUUUGCAACUGGAUCCUGGACUUCUUGACGAGCCGCCCCCAGGUGGUAAGGGAUAUAGACCCACGUUAGUCCUCAGAUGUGAUUUUCGCAGAGACCAGACCACUUAGACAGGAGAGCAGGACCCAGCUCGGAGCAGACGGCAGACAAUGAGACCGAGAGAAAAGAGACACCCCCGUCAGAAUGUAACUGCAGCCAAUUAGGCCGCUAGCCUCUGACAUAUUGUGUACCGGCCCCAUGAAUAUUUCAUCAGAG
rnacentral:lncRNA from 1 species